CUGAGAGUUCCAUACAAAUUUCAGCUACUCAUGAUGUUACCUAGGACCCUUGGAUUUAUAUGGCAAACACAUUGUGCUUAAACUUCCCCAGGAGAAAGUUCCUGCUUCAUUGACUUUGUAUCCCCGAGUACAUGAAACUCAAUCAAAGCUCCAGCUGCUGAGUUUAAGGAUGAAGUGUGCUAUGUGGUGGCAGAUGGCAGUUACUACAUGUAUCUCUCCAGGACAUUGAUCUCACUGUGAAACUACAUCCAUGGCCAGAGAAUUUGUUCUAAUCAAAGAUUGAUGCCAAUUCCUCAUGACAGCAGGAGACAGCUUAUUUCACUCCACUACUAGACAACACAGUAGUAAGGUUCUGAGCAUGUACUCUGCCGAAGGCCAGAUGUGACGUGAGAGACGCCAGAAUGGAGUAAGGACAAGAAUGCAUGCCUGCGGCCUUGGGAGCAGGAGAGAGGAUGUCAACUCUGAUCGACUUUAAUCACAUCCUAUCACUGCCAUUUUCGCCUUUUAGGGGGCUGCCACAUUUCCUGAGAGUCAUGGAGGAGCUGGAGAAAUAGCACAGUGGUUAAUACUGGCUGUUCCUCUAGAGAACCUAGGUUUGAUAUGCAGCACCGAUGAUAACUCAGAAAUGUCUGAAAUGUCAGUUUCGGGAGAUCUGACCCUUCCUCUGCUCUCCAAGAGCACCAGGAAUGAAAGUGGUGCACGGACAUACAUGUAGGCAAAACACCUAUACACAUAAAAUAAAAACUAAGUAAAUUUUAAAAUAUUUUUGAAAAUCAUGAGAACGACAAACUAUGACACAAGAUAAUGGUUAAUGUAUGACAACUGGCGGCUGGAGGAAUUGCUCAGUAGUUAAAAGGACUGACUGCUCUUUCACAGGACCAGGGUUCGAGUCCCAGCACCCACAUGGCCCCUCACAACUGUCUGUAACACCAAGAUCUGACACUCUCAUACAGACACACAUGCAGGCAAAACAGCAAUGCACAUAAAAUAAAAAUAAAUCCUUUAAAAAAUGUAUGACAACUGUGGGGUGGUAGUGACACACCCCUUUCAUCCCAGUGCUCAAGAGACAGAGGCAGGAGGAUCUCUGAAUUCCAGGCCAGCCUGGUCAACAGAGCAAGUUCCAGAUCAAGCAGGGCUACACAGAGAAACCCUGUCUUGAAUAACCAAGAAAAAAAAGUCAUAAACAAGAAAUGAAGAUAUGGAAGUGGUUUCUCAAAGUAAGACACGACUACUAUCCCUUGAAAAUAAUAAGCAUAUCAUAUGGAAAGCCUCAAGGCAUCACAUGAUCACAUGCACACCCUUCUGUGGGAGUCAGAGGUCAGCACGUGGGCAUAGAAAGGGGUCAGAGGAUGACUUUUGGGAAUCAGUUCGCUCUUCCUUCUGGGAACUGGGGCUCACACUGAUCUGGGUGGCCUCACUAGCAAUUGGGAGCCAGAGAUUCAUGUGCUUCCACCUCCUCAGUGCUGAGAAAGGUUGGGUUGCCAUUACACCCAGCUUUGUGUGUGUGUGUGUGUGUGUGUGUGUGUGUGUUAGUGCUGGAACUUGGGUCCUUAUGAUUGUUUGCAAGCAACUGAGUAGUCUCUCCAUGCCCCCUAUUUUCAUUGUCCACAGAAGAAACCACAUGAAAGGAUAAGUGGUUUCAUUAAGAUCAUGGAACUAGAAUUUGAACCCAGAUCAUCCCAUCAUAAAAUCCAAGCACCAAGCAGAGUCUUCUAUCUCUUGUUCUUGUGGGUCCCUAGAUCAACAUUGUCUCUUGGUAACCAAGCAGCAUCAGGCAUCACCUGCUGACUGGCAGUUUUGGGAGCUGGGGUCAUAUGAUUCCAUCAAAGGGAACUAAUGACUUCAACAUGAGUUCUCUUAAAAAUCACUUGGGGGUGGAGAGAUGGCUUAGGAGAUAAGAUAAAAUCUCUAAUUGCUUGGCAAAGGACACAAGUUUGAUUUCCAGCACCCACAUGGCAGAUCACAACAUCUGUAACUCCAGUUCCAAAGAGUCCAAUGCCCUCUUCUAGCCUCCAAAGGCACCAGGCAUGCGUGUGGUACACAAACAUACAUGCAAAGUACCCAUAUAUGUAAAAAUAAACACAUAAAAUAUUUUAAAAAAUAAUAUUUUAGAAAAAGAUCUCUAGCUGGCGCCCGAACCUUGCUGAUCCUGGCCCAAAGCUCCCUGCUCCCAAACCACGUGGGAGAGAGAGCUCAUUGCCCAGGUGUGUGGGCAAUCCUGAGACUGCAGGGCAGGAGAGACCACCACUUCUGCCCACCUUUGCCCACAUCCAUGGCCCAAGAGGAAACUAUAUAGGGCCUCUGGGAACAGGAAGAUAGCAGCAGUCAAGCUGCAGGAGCCCUGCGGUCCAGAGUGCACCCAGAUCUGAACUGGCCAGACAAACAGCUCCCUGCACUCAAAUCCUGUAGGAGGGAGAGCUAGACCUUCAGAGGGGCAGACACACCUGGGAAACCAGAGGAGACUACUCUCUGCCCACAUUUCUGACUCUAGAGGAAAACGUCUAGCACUAUCAGGGUGCCCUAUAUGUAGAGGCACAGAGGAAGGAGGGGCAGGCCUUUCUGGUUACUGCCCUCAUAGAGAGUUGAAACCUAGCCCAGAGGAGCGACUUUGGGACUGACACCAGAGGUAAGACCAACUUUUCUGCUCCAAGUGACCCGCCUGGUGGACUCAGGACACACACCCACAGGAAGAGCUAAAAGCCAGUGGACAGGAACAGCUACACCCUGAAAGCAGAACACUCUAUUCCCAUAACUGGCUGAAAGAAAACAGGAAAACAGGUCAACAGCACUCCUGACACACAGGACUAUAGGACGGUCUAGCCACUGUCAGAAAUAGCAGAACAAGGUAACACCAGAGACAACCUGAUGGCUAGAGGCAAGUACAGGAACCCAAGCAACACAAAGAAAGACUACAUGGCAUCAUCGGAGCCCAAUUCUCCCACCAAAGCAAACACUGAAUAUCCAAACACACCAGAAAAGCAAGAUCUUGAUUUUAAAUCACAUUUGAUCAUGAUGCUGGAGGACUUCAAGAAAGACAUAAAGAACUCCAUUAGAGAAACAUAGGAAAACACAAGUAAACAAGUAGAAGCCCUGAAAAAAUUAUAGGGAAACACAAUCAAACAGGUGAAGGAAUUGAAAAUGGAAAUAGAAACAAUAAAGAAAGUACAAAGGGAGAAAACCCUGGAUAUAGAAAACUGAAGGAAGAGACAAGGAGAUGUAGAUAUAAGCAUCAACAACAGAAUACAAGAGAUAGAAGAGAGAAUCUCAGGAGCAGAAGAUUCCAUAGAAAUCAUCAACACAACUGUCAAAGAAAAUGAAAAAUGGAAAAAGCUACUGGCCCAAAAAUACAAGAAAUCCAGGACACAAUGAGAAGAUCAAACCUAAGGAUAAUACAUAUAAUAGAGAGUAAAAACUCCCAACUCAAAGGACCAGUAAACAUCUUCAACAAAAUCAUAGAAGAAAACUUCCCCAACCUAAAGAAAGAGAUGCCCAUAAACAUAGAAGAAGCCUACAGAACUCCAAAUAGAUUGGACCAGAAAAGAAGCUCCUCCCAUCACAUAAUAGUCAAAACACCAAAUGCACAAAACAAAGAAAGAAUAUUAAAAGCAGUAAGGGAAAAGGUCAAGUAACAUAUAGAGGCAGACCUAUUAGAAUUACACCAGACUUCUCACCAGGGACUAUGAAAGCCAGAAGAUCCUGGACAGAUGUCAUACAGACCCUAAGAGAACACAAAUGCCAGCCCAAGUUACUGUAUCCAGCAAAAGACUCAAUUAACAUAGAUGGAGAAACCAAGAUAUUCCAUAACAAAACCAAAUUUACACAAUAUCUUUUUACAAAUUCAGCCCUACAACGGAUAAUAAAUGGUAAAGCCCAACACAAGGAGGCAAGCUACACCCUAGAAAGCAAGAAACUAAUCAUUUUGCAACAAAACAAAGAGAAGGCAAGCACACAAACAUAAUCUCACCUCCAAAUAGAAAGAUAACAGGAAACAAUAAUCACUAUUCCUUAAUAUCUCUCAACAUCAAUGGACUCAAUUCCCCAAUAAAAAGACACAGGUUAACAAACUGGAUAUAUAAUGAGGACCCAGCAUUUUGCUGCCUACAGGAAACACACCUCAGAGACAAAGACAGACACUACCUCAGAGUAAAAGGCUGGAAAACAAUUUUCCAAUCAAAUGGUCUGAAGAAGCAAGCUGGAGUAGUCUUUCUUAUAUAGAAUAAAAUCGAUUUUCAACCAAAUGUCACCAAAAAAGAUGAGGAAGGAAACUUCAUAUUCAUCAAAGGAAAAAUCCACCAGGAUGAACUCACAAUCCUAAAUAUGUAUGCUCCAAAUACAAGGGCACCUACAUACAUAAAAGAAACCUUACUAAAGCUCAAAGCAUACAUUGCACCUCACACAAUAAUAGUAGGAGAUUUCAACAACCCACUCUCAUCAAUGGACAGAUCAUGGAAACAGAAAUUAAACAGAGACGUAGACAGACUAACUGAAGUCAUGAACCAAAUGGACUUAGUAGAUAUUUAUAGAAUAUUCUACCCUAAAACUAAAGGAUAUACAUUCUUCUCACCAGCUCAUGGUAGUUUCUCCAAAAUUGACCAUAUAAUCGGGCACAAAACAGGCCUCAACAGAUACAGAAAGAUAGAAAUAAUCCCAUACGUCCUAUCAGACCACUAUGGGCUAAAACUGGUCUUCAAUAACAAUAAGGAAAGAAUGCCCACAUAUACAUGGAAGUUGAACAAUGCUCUACUCAAU